rnacentral:tmRNA from 1 species
GGGGGUGUUAAGGUUUCGACUUAAAAAUGAGAUCUUAAUGGCAUGCAGAGGAUUCGGUUGGCCUCUUAAAAAACCGAAACAAAAAUAAACGGCGAAGAAAAAUUUGCCUUGCCUCAAGCUGCUUAAACAGCAGUUUGAAGCCGAUAGUUUUAAAAUCUGAUCGAGAGUUUUAAAAAUCUAUCGUCAUAGAUCUCGAUAUGAGAAAUUUUCUUCUUUUGCUCUCUUUUGAAAAUUUCUCAAGAUUUUAAGAGAAGCAGGUUAUCUUUUUAACGUUACGAACCUAUCGUGUAAGAUAACUUUAAAAAGGUUCUAAGCAUGUAGUCAUUAUUAUUGAACUUUUUAAGGACGAGAGUUCGAUUCUCUCCACCUCCAUUU